rnacentral:piRNA from 1 species
CGCCAUGUAUCCACGGACCCACCUAC